CCUACGGGUGGCAGCAGUGGGGAAUAUUGGACAAUGGGGGGAACCCUGAUCCAGCCAUGCCGCGUGUGUGAAGAAGGCCCUCGGGUUGUAAAGCACUUUCAGUGAGGAAGAACGCCUGGUGGUUAAUACCCAUCAGGAAAGACAUCACUCACAGAAGAAGCACCGGCUAACUCCGUGCCAGCAGCCGCGGUAAUACGGAGGGGGCGAGCGUUAAUCGGAAUUACUGGGCGUAAAGCGCGCGUAGGUGGCUUGAUAAGCCGGUUGUGAAAGCCCCGGGCUCAACCUGGGAACGGCAUCCGGAACUGUCAAGCUAGAGUGCAGGAGAGGAAGGUAGAAUUCCCGGUGUAGCGGUGAAAUGCGUAGAGAUCGGGAGGAAUACCAGUGGCGAAGGCGGCCUUCUGGACUGACACUGACACUGAGGUGCGAAAGCGUGGGUAGCAAACAGGAUUAGAUACCCGAGUAUUC
rnacentral:rRNA from 1 species